AUUUAAUUUAUUUAUUUAAAUAAAUAUCUAAAUUUUAAGUAUAUCAUUUACAAUGAUAAGAUGUUUUUUUAACUUUAUUUAAAUU
rnacentral:tRNA from 1 species